GUCAUUUGCAAAAUGUAUUUCAUGCGAAAGGCCAGUUCAUAAGAAUCAAAAUACAUUACUCAGAAGAACACCUGAAGGUAUGAAUCGCCCAAUAACAAAUUUGCAGUCUCCACAAAACGUAUUUCUUGAUGAAAUUUAUGGCCCCACUAAUGAAUGUGAACAUACAGGAAGAUAUGUGGGUGGAGAACAUACCACAAGAACAAUUAAUAAAGAAUUCCAAACAUCAUUUCCUAAAAUUUCCUAAAGCCAAACAUGGAAAUAAUAUCAUGAAUAUAUUAUAUAGUUUAUAUAAGAUAUAAUAUAUACUUAAUUUAUACUUUAAAAAACAAAAUUAUUUUUACAGUGUGCACUUAGAUCCAGUAUCAGGUCGAAAUAAUUCAAAUUUUAUGGGUAAUAUCAGAAAUUAUUACAUUUAACGGAAAG